rnacentral:rRNA from 1 species
UGGGGAAUUUUGGACAAUGGGCGAAAGCCUGAUCCAGCAAUGCCGCGUGUGUGAAGAAGGCCUUCGGGUUGUAAAGCACUUUUGUCCGGAAAGAAAUCCUUGGCUCUAAUACAGUCGGGGGAUGACGGUACCGGAAGAAUAAGCACCGGCUAACUACGUGCCAGCAGCCGCGGUAAUACGUAGGGUGCAAGCGUUAAUCGGAAUUACUGGGCGUAAAGCGUGCGCAGGCGGUUUGCUAAGACCGAUGUGAAAUCCCCGGGCUCAACCUGGGAACUGCAUUGGUGACUGGCAGGCUAGAGCAUGGCAGAGGGGGGUAGAAUUCCACGUGUAGCAGUGAAAUGCGUAGAGAUGUGGAGGAAUACCGAUGGCGAAGGCAGCCCCCUGGGCCAAUACUGACGCUCAUGCACGAAAGCGUGGGGGAGCAAACAGGAUUAGAUACCCUGGUAGUCCACGCCCUAAACGAUGUCAACUAGUUGUUGGGGAUUCAUUUCCUUAGUAACGUAGCUAACGCGUGAAGUUGACCGCCUGGGGAGUACGGUCGCAAGAUUAAAAACUUAAAUGAAUUGACGGGGUCAU